CUAACAAGUGGCUGAAUGGGACAGAAGUUGUCAGGAAUGUUACAUCAUUAGCCGAACAGAGGGAACCAGGGUGAUGCAAACCUCCAGGUUAGCCAACAUACGUCAUUACUGCAGAACUCUAUAGCCAAAGAAAUCUAGUGGUAAUUAAAUUGAUGUCUAUGGAGGAGUCGGAGAGCUCUCUGAUUUGUCUUGGAAGGUCUUAUGGCUUUGAAAUGUC